UACGUAGGGCGCAAGCGUUAUCCGGAAUUAUUGGGCGUAAAGAGCUCGUAGGCGGUUUGUCGCGUCUGCCGUGAAAGUCCGGGGCUCAACCCCGGACUUGCAGUGGGUACGGGCAGACUGGAGUGUGGUAGGGGAGACUGGAAUUCCUGGUGUAGCGGUGGAAUGCGCAGAUAUCAAGAGGAACACCGGAGGUGAAGACGGGUUGCUGGGCUGACACUGACGCUGGGGCGCGAAAGCUAGGGUAGCAAACGGG
rnacentral:rRNA from 1 species